rnacentral:lncRNA from 1 species
GUUCCAUUUAAAAAGGGAUCUGUUUACACUUCCUUGUUUUAAUCAGCCUUAGAGUGAAAUUGGAAUGAAAUGUAUAAUCAUUUGAUGGAGCCAGUGUUUGCCAGUCUGUCUUACCAGCUUGAGUUCAUCUAAGAGAUGAUUUUGAAGUAAAAAGGUUACUCCGUUUACUAAGCAAACAGAAGGAGGUAAGUCGUUUUUCUCAGAAUUGUGGAAGUGGUUUCUUCAUAAGAGUUCACAUAUUGGAAAGAAUCGCUGACUGAACCCUCCACAGCAAUGUUCCAGGAUUCAUUUUUAAUAAAGUUGUUUAUUUCAAGAGUAUAAACUCCACUUUUGAGCAAAAUGCAGAAACCAGCACAGGAGGUUAAAAAAGCUGUUCUGCUGUAAUAGUGUAAUUUGUUUCUUGGCCAUUAAAUGAGAAUGCUGGGAUUUUAAUUCCACUAUUUGGUUUCCAGCAUCUACUAUAAUUAAUUUUCUCUUAUUUUGUUGCUAUAGAAUCAAAUGGAAACUAAUGAUGUGGAACCCAACGUUGUCAAGGCAGUGAUGAGCUUCAUCUACGAGAUACACUUUCCUUGGAUUGCAUCAGUGGGUUGCUUGUAUUCCGGAUUGGCAAAGAUGAGGCACCAGAAGGAGGUGCUGAGGCCAGUAGAAGAGGGACUCCAGGGUAUUUAUUUUCUCAGCUGCCUCUCCAUCAGGUAAUGAUAGGUUUAUAACAUUCAUCUUUAAUGGCUUCAGCUCCUGUCCGAUGGUUCUUACCACACAGAUUUCUCUUAUAUUCCCCCAUCCCUUAUCAUUUUCCUAAACCCACCUGUAUAUCUGUAAAUAAUCCCUUCAAUUAGACUGUCCUCAAAUUUCCUAACUUGAAUGUAUCAUGCAUUUCUUGACACCAAUUCAAUUAAUGCACCUACUCAGAGAAAAAAUAUGCUACCUAGAAAUAACAAAGACCCUGCCAUUUAGAAGCCACAUGAUCUGGUCGAAUUGCUUAGUACCAUGUAGCCUGUUUCUUCAUCUGUAACCAUGUCUAAUAACAUCUACUUUGGAUGAUGUCUAAAGAAAAGUGCACAUAAAGCUCU